CACUGUGUGUUGUUGGGUAGGGGAGCGUUCUGUAAGCCUGUGAAGGUGGCCUGUGAGGUUGCUGGAGGUAUCAGAAGUGCGAAUGCUGACAUAAGUAACGAUAAAGCGGGUGAAAAGCCCGCUCGCCGGAAGACCAAGGGUUCCUGUCCAACGUUAAUCGGGGCAGGGUGAGUCGACCCCUAAGGCGAGGCCGAAAGGCGUAGUCGAUGGGAAACGGGUUAAUAUUCCCGUACUUGGUGUUACUGCGAAGGGGGGACGGAGAAGGCUAUGUUGGCCGGGCGACGGUUGUCCCGGUUUAAGCGUGUAGGUGUGUGUUCCAGGUAAAUCCGGUUCACUUUAACACUGAGGCGUGAC
rnacentral:rRNA from 1 species